rnacentral:rRNA from 1 species
ACGGAGGGUGCAAGCGUUAUCCGGAUUCACUGGGUUUAAAGGGUGCGUAGGCGGAUUGGUAAGUCCGUGGUGAAAUCCCCGAGCUUAACUUGGGAACUGCCGUGGAUACUAUCAGUCUUGAAUAUCGUGGAGGUAAGCGGAAUAUGUCAUGUAGCGGUGAAAUGCUUAGAUAUGACAUAGAACACCAAUUGCGUAGGCAGCUUACUACUCGAUCAUUGACGCUGAGGCACGAAAGCUAGGGGAGCGAACGGGA